GAAUCUUCCACAAUGGACGAAAGUCUGAUGGAGCAACGCCGCGUGCAGGAUGACGGCCUUAGGGUUGUAAACUGCUUUUAUAUGGGAAGAUUAUGACGGUACCAUAUGAAUAAGGACCGGCUAACUACGUGCCAGCAGCCGCGGUAAUACGUAGGGUCCAAGCGUUAUCCGGAAUCACUGGGCGUAAAGCGUGUGUAGGCGGCGUGUUAAGUGCGAUGCGAAAUCUUGUGGCUCAACCAUAUAGACUGUAUCGCAUACUGGCAUGCUAGAGGAUGGCAGAGGCAAGUGGAAUUGGUAGUGUAGCAGUGAAAUGCGUAGAUAUUACCAGGAACACCAAUGGCGAAGGCAGCUUGCUGGGCCAUUUCUGACGCUGAGACACGAAAGCGUGGGGAGCGAACAG
rnacentral:rRNA from 1 species